GAUGAACGCUGGCGGCGUGCCUAAUACAUGCAAGUCGAGCGAACAGACGAGGAGCUUGCUCCUCUGACGAUAGCGGCGGACGGGUGAGUAACACGUGGAUACCCUACCUAACAGACUGGGAUAACUUCGGGAAACCGGAGCUAAUCCCGGAUAAUAUAUGGAACCGCAUGGUUCAAUAGUGAAAGACGGUUUUGCUGUCACUUCUAGGUGGAUCCGCGCCGCAGUAGCUAGUUGGUAAGGUAACGGCUUACCAAGGCAACGAUGCGUAGCCGACCUGAGAGGGUGAUCCGGCACACGGGAACUGAGACACGGUCCAGACUCGUACGGGGGGCAGCAGUAGGGAAUCUGCCGCAAUGGGCGAAAGCCUGACGGUGCACCGCCGCGUGAUGGAUGAAGGUCUUCUGAUCGUAGAACGCUGUUAGGAUGUAAGAUCAAAUGUGUAAGUACCUAGGCACGUCUUGACGGUACCUAAUCAGAAAGCCACGGCUAACUACGUG
rnacentral:rRNA from 1 species